AGAGUUGAUUAUGGCUCAGAACGAACGCUGGCGGCGCGUCUUAAGCAUGCAAGUCGAACGGCAAGGAUGGUAGCUUGCUACUAUCCCUAGAGUGGCGGACUGGUGAGUAACACGUGGGUGACCUACCCUCGAGAUGGGGAUAGCCAUUAGAAAUAGUGGAUAAUACCGAAUACGCUCUACGGACUCUGGUUUGUAGAGGAAACAGGCUACGGCCUGGCUCGAGGAUGGGCCCGCGUCCCAUUAGCUAGUUGGUGAGGUAAGAGCCCACCAAGGCGACGAUGGGUAUCCGGCCUGAGAGGGUGUACGGACACAUUGGGACUGAGAUACGGCCCAAACUCCCACGGGAGGCAGCAGCUAAGAAUAUUCCGCAAUGGACGAAAGUCUGACGGAGCGACGCCGCGUGGAUGACGAAGGCCGAAAGGUUGUAAAAUCCUUUUGCUGAUGAAGAAUAAGCGUGGUAGGGAAUGACCGCGUGAUGACAUUAGUCGGUGAAUAAGCCCCGGCUAACUACGUGCCAGCAGCGGC
rnacentral:rRNA from 1 species